UAAAAUCAACACUUUUUUACUUGGAAGUUUUGAAAUAAUAAUGAAUUUAGUCUUAAACUCCAGAAUAGAGUUGAGCGCAACCGUAAAUACAUUGUACUUAAAUUCGUUUAGAAAGAAACUAAUUUAGUUUAUCAACAAUGUUUUUAUAAUUUAUUUUUGUUCAAUAACAUGAUAAUUCUUAUUUAUAAACCAUGCCUCUGCUAAACUUGAUAUUUUUGUAAAAGAAGUAAGUUUGAAUUUGAAUAAGCUAUCUUGAAACAAGUAACCUACAAAUUGGUUAACCAACAACUAAAAAUAUUAAUAUAAUUCAAUGAUUACUACCCUUGAAAUUUAUGAUGUAGGUUAAAAUUUGAAUUGGAAAAAUAAAAUAACAAGUCUUUAUUCGAAAAGAGUGAUUAUCAGUUGAAUUAUUAACGUUUAUUCACGAAAAAUUCCAUUCAACAUAGGGUUUUCAAUGUAAACACGGGUUGAAGUGUACGCUUUUGAACAGCUGAUCACCUGAUGGUUCUAGCCUUGUAGUUACGUAAGCGACGGGUUAUGUUUAGUGGGAUUGUAAGGAGAUUAGGUUAUGUUUUAUCAACAAUAUGAACUGUAACAAAGUACAGUAGAUACAAAAUUAUUCAUAACUUGGUGGGUUUAUUCUUAUAAAAACACAAAGACAUAAUAUUGAUAAAUUCGUUUAAAACAGAAAGUUGAAACUGUUAAUAGUAGGCUAUGAUUAGGCUAUUCAUCACUGUACCAGAGAAUAACAGGCUGUGUGAGCUAUGGUUGAAACUUGCUGCUGGGUCUAUCUUGCUAGUUUAGGGCUGGUGAUCACAGUAUCAAGUAUCAGGCACCAAAAUAUAUCACAAAGGCCGCAAAGACAGUUCAUCGUGUGUGUUGUAUCUCAUUCUGCAAAGACAGUGAACAUGUAAUCCUAUAGUUUGACACCAUACACAUCGUUUCACCAUUACCAUAGUAUCCACUUCCAUUGUAUAAUUUUGUACAUUACAAAACAUGUGUUCUGACAUGAAUAAUAAUGUGUUUAUGUAAAUUAGCAAUAUUUAUUGUUACUUUUGCAAUUUUUCAUAUGUUUUGAAAAAAAUUAAAAGGUAUUAUGUACUUCA